rnacentral:tRNA from 1 species
CUAUAUAUAUAUAUAAAAAAUUUACAAUUUUUAAUAUUAUAGA